UUCUCGUCUCUCGUUCUCCACUCUCGUGUCGCGAAACGUACAGAUCGGAGAUGCGGCGCCGCGGCGACCGGAGAUGCGAGGGGCGAGAGGUAGAGCGGGGGAGAGGGAGAGCAUCGGGGCGGCAGCGAGCGGCGGCAACGGGCAGCGAGAGGAGGCGAGCGGCGGCCGGCGGCCAGCAAAGGCCAUGAUGGAUCCUGCCGAGCCGAUUUGCACCGCCGCCGUCGCCGUAGGAAUCUGACCGUCGACGACACCUUGCUGGUUUGGAGUUCGUUCUAGGUGGUUUCUUUCUGAACUCCAUCUUCCACAACAAACUGCAAGUGGAACAUUCUGGAUUUCUCUCCUAAAAAUUCAUUUGUUGGAGAGCUCCCACCUCCGUGGGAUCCUAUAUCAACACCCACAUUCAGUAUGAGCUGACGGUACAUGGAUGUUUUUUGAAGAUCACAUGAACAAAAUGAACAGAGUUUCCAAGAGUUUCCAAAAUGAGCAGAGUCUCCUAAAUUAUGCCGAACCGUUGCGCAUUACAUGACUGAAAAUUUGUGUUUUAAUUCCUGAUGCAUGUUGGAUGUUUACUAUACAGACUUGGGUUAAAUUGUUGCCAUAAAAAUUGAAUCUUUUGUAACUUACGCUGAAAUA